ACAAAUAGGUAAACACACACACACACACACACACACACACACACACACACACACACACACACACACACACACACACACACACACACACAGGAGCUGGAGAUGCUGAUGAUGGACGUUGCUCUUAGUGUGCUGUUUUGCAAGGGCAAGAUCAUGGAACAUGCUGGCCAGCAGUCCGUCUGCCUCAGGAUGGAGGAGUCGUCUGUCAGCUGUCAGUGAGCUGGAGGUGCUGAGGAUGCUGAACUGAACUUUCUGCGAGGAUAUCACUCACAGCAUAUUGUCUCACAAGCGCAAGGAGAUUUUGGAGCAUGCCAACCAGCUGUCCAUCCACCUCACAAACGACUUUGCCCACCUCAGAACGGAGGAGUCAACUGUUGAUUUUGUGUCACCAUGUACUGUUCGCCCUCCCUGCCAGCCUGAGGGAAAGGAUUGACCUGCCUGGAGGUCCUCAUUGGCAUUCACUGGGCAGAGAGGAAUGAAGAGAUUUAGAUCUAAGAGGAAUGAUGAAUGUUAAUGAAUGAUAUAAAAAGAGGAGAGAAUGGAGAGAAAAUAAGGGAUGAAUAAAGAAGAGAAUAGAGAGAUGAGGGAUAGAAAAGAAGAGAAAUGGAGAAAAUGAGGGAAGUGAAGGUUAGAAGGCACUGCUCUCUGCCAAGUAAGUCCACAAUCUGUAUUCAUUGCAAGGAGUGAAAGAGAGAGAGGAUGUGUGGAGGAAGGCAUGCAUAGAAAGAGAUAAGGUUGGCAGGAUUUUAAGAUGUGGAAAGGAAAGGGAGAGACACCAGGAGAGAGAAAAAUGGUAUAAUGAAUGAGGAUAAAGACAAGACAAUAGGAAGAGAUUAGGAGAGAUGAGAAAGUGGAUGAAUGAAACAAAGAAAGAUGAAUAAGACAAAGAAUAGAAAGUUUAAUGAUAAGAGAGGUUGGCAAGGGAGAACUGAGAUGGGAAAAUGGAGAAAGAACAGGAUAUAACAAAACACAGAACCUCUUUAAAUAGUCUAUGUGUAUUUAAUAAGUUUACAUACAUUCCUCAUCUGGGUUACAUACAGUAGGUAAUAUAAAUGUGUAGCUUUACUGACACAACCGGCACAGGAAGGCAGGCGGGUGGUGUGGUGUGUGGUACUAUAAAAAAAAAUAAAUAAAUAAGUAAUGGAAUAUAAUUGUGCUGAUAUAAAGGCAUUGGGAGAGAUUAAUGGAAUGUCUUGGAUAUGAGAGACGACUAAGGUGUGUUUAGAUGAGGGAAAGGGGACAGGGAUAAUGGAAGAGAUAAAUAGAUGAUGAGAGAAAAUACAGUAAGCCCCGCACUUGGUGAAUUAAUUAGUCUGGUGAAAUUACUGCCAAAUGUGAAUUUCGCCAAGCACGAGUUCUUUAUAAUCAUAUAAAAUGCCUCAAUCUGUCUUUGGUCAUUGCCAAAGUCCCUCUUUUGACUCCUUAAAUACCAUCUUUUGAGGUGAAAUAAAAUCUUUUGCCUUCACAUAUACAAAACACAUGUACACAUGUACAAAACAGACCAAUAAACAAUAAAUAAAGCUAAUAAUAAUAAAGGUUGUAACUCCCAUUUUUCCCGUUUCCUUCGCCCACUUUCGUCCUUGCUGCCACCAUUGUCCUUCCCCCCACUGGUACCACCUGUUGCCCUGGUAGAGGCCAUGGUGGUGGUAAAGCGCCAGAAUUUGUUCCCACACUAGCAAAACAGAGGGUGGCACAAAUAAAAUGGCUGAAGGGGACUCUCACACUGCGUUCUGAUAGGUUUAGAGAGGUCAGACGUCACCGGGGAGCUGCGUGGCUCGCCAUGCGGCCGCCAAGUUUGAAUUCCAAUCACCAAGCAUGCACUCAGUGGUCCGUGGCCACCCUACCGCCAAGUGUGAAAUUCGCCAAGCUGAGAUUUGGCAAGUGAGGGGCUUACUGUAGGAAUACUGGAAUGAUUUUUGGAUAUGACAGAGAAGCAAAGUUAUUUUUAGAAGAGGAAGGAGAGAAUGAAAGGAAUAGAGAUAAUAUAGACAAGAAUAGAGAAUAGAAUUAGGAAAGGAUUAAUGGAAUGUUUUUAAAGACAAAGAUAUUUUUAAAAGGAGAGGGAGAGAAAAUGAAAGAAGGAAGAGACAAGACAGAUUGAAGAGGAAUAGAAAAUAGAAUGAGGAAAUAAUUUGUAAUGUUUUUUUAAUGAGAUGGCCAAGGUUUUUAAAGGUAUGGGAGAGAGAGGAGGAAAUCAGGCACCACUUAACCUGAUUGCAAGUUGUGUUGCCAACCUGCAUGCCUGUUAUUGUCCCUUUCAACCAUAUGAAUGAAGCACAGGAAAGAAUCACUAUAGCAACACUGGACUACUCUCUAUUGUUGUGUUUGGCAGCAAGUUGGGUUAUUACACUUGCUGGGGAGAAAAGUGCCUCUACUGUUAUUACUCAUUUAUGCUCAAGAAUUUUUAUAUCCACUCUUACCAUGACAAAUUAUGCACUACUAUGCUGUGUGUGAAAUCUUGACAAGCACUGAGAAGAAAGGGAUUUGGCAAUUUGUAGCUUAUAUAAUCUUGGGAGCAGGUUUGGAAAGAGGUGUCCCAGUGGUCAGUAAUUAAGGGCAGAUUCAGCAAAUAGCGGUGACUAAGUUGAAUCUGAAACACAACUACUCAACUGGAUAGAAGUGUUUUGACUCAUAAGAUGCUAGUUGGAGGAACAUCUCACCAGUACAAGAUAGAGAUAAGGAAGAACCCCAACUCCUAUCCAGGGUGUCAAAGAACCCAAGUUUUCCUUGCAGGUGUCAAAGAAAGAAUCUUAAGUUUUCUCGAAGGCAUCAGUGUUUGUGGCAAGGCAUCUAUAAAAGCAAAAUAUCUUUCUUUCUAUAUCUGAGUGGCUCAGAUAUAGAAAGCAAUCCCCCAAGCUUCUCAAGGGCAUCAAUGUUUGUGGAACUCAAGUAUUGUAACAGGAUUUAUGUAUAGGAAGAACACUCAAGCUUCCCCUUGGUAUCAGUAUUUAUGGCAGGGGAUUUAAAAAUCAGGGUAUUGUAAUGAUUUAAAUAUAGGAAGAAUGGUCAAGCUUCUCCAGGGCAUUUGUUGUGGCAGGGGAUCUCAAAACUGUAACUGGAUUUAUUUAAGUUAGUCAUAUUUCCUUAGUACUGGCACUCUCAUUCACUAUAAUGGUCUCAAUUUGUGCACACGUUUUGGAGAUGGAGGAAAAUUUAAGCAGUGAAGGGAUGAAGGCAGAGGAACUUAGUGAGAAUAGUAUGUUUCUCAAAUGAAGUGUAAUGUUUAGUGAAGUGUUGCUAUAGUGAUUCUUAGCAGGCAUGAUUUCUUUGGUGGAAACAGUGACAAUUGCAGACACGACUCACUGUGAUGACAACACGUGGCGCCAACUCUUUAAGAUGUGAAAAGAAAUAGAGACGAAAACUUAAUGCUGUGUGAUUCCUUCUGUGUUGUCUUUCUUUGUAAUGUCUUCUUUGGAAUGACCAGUCCUCCUCCUCCUCCUCCUCUUCUGCUCUGAUGAGGUAAUCUGGAAAACAACAAGAACAAUGAGAGAGAGAGAGAGAAUUUGUUUACAGGUCACAGCACCCAACACUUCACUAAAUGACAAGGCUUAUGAUAGACUGAUAUGAUGACCCAAACAAAUGAUAACAUAACACCAUCAUUCAGAGGUCAUGUGAGUGGUUCCCUACCUGGCUAGCUUCUAUCACCCCUUCACUGCAUCUUUGUGACAAGCUGAACCCAAGACAAUGAAGGCUGAAAAAAUGGGAGAAGGAGGAACAUGGGGGACUGAUAGAGAGAGAGAAUGAUUGAUUUGAUAGAUUAAUUUAAAGGAGGAAGAGGAGAGAUUGACUGAUUAAAAAGAGAGAAUUGAGGAGAUAUAUGUAGAAGUGGAGACUGAUAAAGAGGGAGAGAGAAACAGUUGAUAGACUGACUGAUUUUUAAAAAGAAAAGUAGAGGAGAUAUAUAGAAGAGGAGGAAAGGAAAAAAAUCUAAAAGGAACUGAGAGAAAUGAAGAGAAGGAAACAAAUUAAAUAUAGGAAUGAAGCAUAGAUGAGAAGGAAAGGAAAAAGGAGGGAAGGGGUAAAAAAUGAAAACAGUAAGAAAAGAAAAUAGAAGAAAUGAGGAUGCAAGGAAUAGGAAAUACAAAGAAAUGUGAGUGAGUUUGUAAAUGUACUGUUGGGGUGGGCUCUGAGAUGGGUGGGAGAGAGAGAGAUAAAGAGACAGGCAAAAAACCAAGAAAAAAACAAACAACUCACUCGUACUCUUAAUUCUCUUCCUCCUUUGCCUCCACCUGCCUUCCCUUCCACUGUAGAACCCCGCUGGUCAUCCUCUUCCUCUUCCUCCUCCUCUUCCUCUUCCGUCUCCUGCUCUUCCACCCUCGACGUUUGAGUGGCAAGAAUAGUAUCCGGAUUAACUGUACCCAGACUCCUCAUAUCCCCAUCAUCCUCCUCCGAGUCAUCCAUCAUCCUCCUCUUCUUGUUCAUCCCUUCAGUCUCCCAGCACAGAAACUCCUGCGUGAACCUGUCCUCUGCUACUCUCUCUGACAAAAUUAUCUUCCUAUUUUCAUCUGGAUUGCUUCCUUUCUUGUCCUCUUUGGUGUUUUGGUGGCCAGUGUGGGCUCUCCUGGCCGCCUGAAUCCUACGCCAAGUUGCAGACCGGUUUGAACUGACAGCCGAGGCAGAGAGGUAACGCUCGACGGCUGUGGGGACUCUGCGCUGGUCAAAGUCUUGGUCUAUCCUCUGUACCACUUGUUGCCUGUAAAGAGAUGGAGGGAGAUGGAUUGACUGGUUGGAUAACAGAUAUACUGUACAUUAGUUAAAAUCUUUGUCUAUCCUCUGUACUACUUGUUGCCUGUAAGGAGAUGGAGGGACAGAGGUUGACUAGUUAAGACAUACAUUGGUUGAAAUCUUUGUCACUCCACUUGAUUGAAUGAUUAAAAGAAAGAGAAGGGAAAGAUACAUACAUAGAUUGAUUAAAAUAGAUAGAUACCUACUAAGAAAUUAUAAAGGUGUAGUGUCAAAGUUAAUAUGAUACAUGCUACAAAUAAAGUUUAACACAA
rnacentral:lncRNA from 1 species